CCAUUGGAUGAUAUCUUUUUUUUCUAGGCACAAGAAAAUAUUUCCCUCCGGAGUAUGAAUUGCAUGGCAGGUACCAUGCACAGCCAGCGACUGUUUGGUCUCUAGGGAUCGUCCUGUUCGCAUUGAUGUGUGGGGCUUUACCCACUGUCUCCGACCACUCCUUGAUCAGGGACUAUCUUUGGUCUAGCCCUGGCCUGUCAAUAGAAUGCUGCCAGAUGAUCUGCGGUUGUCUACAGCCAAACCCAGAUGAGAGACUCGCUCUGCAGGAGAUGCAUCUCCAUAACUGGUUUAAGGUCAUGGAGUAAGACAGGA